rnacentral:tRNA from 2 species
GGCGGCGUAGCCAAGUGGUAAGGCGACGGUCUGCAAAACCGUUAUUCACCGGUUCGAACCCGGUCGCCGCCUCAA